AAGUGGGAACACCUGGCCCCGCCUUUAUUUUGAAAGGGUAAUUGUGUAUAUAAGCUCCAGGUCAGUGGGUGCACUUCCUGCUUGCUUCUUCCUACUUCCUGCUGGCUGCUUCCUGCUCUGAGCUCUCAGCUGUUGCUGCUGCUGUGGCCACACCAGGACGCCUAAAACACCUUCUUGAGACAUAUUUGGAAACCUCAAAAUUUCCAUUUCAUUAAACCCAAAGAGACCUGCUCAUCGGUCAGGUUUUUGUUAUGUAUGCUUUGAUCUACAACUUGAUGGCGAGCUACCCAAAUCUGAGAUCCUGAUACUUCCACCCUCAAUAACAACUCCUCAGCUGCAGCAAACCUCAACUACAUCCCAACCAAUAGACUUUUGGAAACCACUCAAUAGGACUCAGACCCAUAUCCCGGUUCCUUUUGUUGUUGUUUUUUUUUGUAUUGUUUAAAUGUCUAUUUUCUGUUAAUACAAUCGAUUUCAUUUUACUUUCAUCGCUGUCUUGUUUUCAUUUACAUACCUUGGGCUCCCUGAGACGAAUCCUGAUUAUUGCGUCUAGUCCCAUAAUCUGAGAAGCGUUACACUUGGCGAGCUAGCUAGGAGCCCUGGUGUGUAAAUGUUUUUCCUUUUAGUUUGUGUUAAUUGAAAAAAA